rnacentral:lncRNA from 1 species
GGUUCACGGGUAGCGGGACCCCUAUGGAUCCCCGUGGAUACUAGUAGGCUGGUUAAAGAGGAAAAUAUAUUGUUUAAUGAUUUAAAUGAAAAGGCAUGAUAAGUGUUAUGUUAUAAAGUUUAUAUGAUUUCAUGAUAAUGAUAAUGUUAUUGCUUUCACAUGUUGUUUUCAUGGAUCUUACCGAGGUAAGUGGACAGUAAAGGUUUUUAUGUUAAU